UUGAUUCCAAUCCUUAUGAAUGUCUUUGAAGCGUUCAAGACUUCAUUGGAAGAAGUAACCACAGAUAUGGUGGAAACAGCAAGAGAACUAGAAUUAGAAGUGGAGCCAAAAGAGCAAGCGGGCUUUUUCCAGACGUUCCUCUCUCCUGGUUUCGUGGAGUUUCCUCACAGCAUGGCCCCCAAAUGCCAGUCUUCGCUCCCACCUCAAACGAAGAAACCAAGACUACCUCCUGCCCCCAAGCCGCAGGAGACGUCGACACCUCAGCACUUGCCUAAGGGAGAAAAAGAACAGCAAGAAGCAAUUGAACAUAUUGAUGAAGUACAAAAUGAAAUAGACAGACUUAAUGAACAAGCCAGUGAGGAGAUUUUGAAAGUAGAACAGAAAUAUAACAAACUCCACCAACCAUUUUUUCAGAAGAGGUCAGAAUUGAUCACCAAAAUCCCCAAUUUUUGGGUAACAACAUUUGUCAACCAUCCACAAGUGUCUGCACUGCUUGGGGAGGAGGAUGAAGAGGCGCUGCAUUAUUUGACAAGAGUGGAAGUGACAGAAUUUGAAGAUAUUAAAUCAGGUUACAGAAUAGAUUUUUAUUUUGAUGAAAACCCUUACUUCGAAAAUAAAGUUCUCUCCAAAGAAUUUCAUCUGAAUGAGAGUGGUGAUCCAUCUUCAAAGUCCACCCGAAAUCAAAUGGAAAUCUGGAAAGGAUUUGACGAAACGUUCAAGUCAAACACAGAAUAAAGCCAGCAGGAAGAGACAGCAUGAGGAACCAGAGAGUUUCUUCACCUGGUUUACUGACCAUUCUGAUGCAGGUGCAGAUGAGUUAGGAGAGGUCAUCAAAGAUAAUAUUUGGCCAAAUCCAUUACAGUGCUACUUGGUUCCCGAUAUGGAUGAUGAAGAAGGGGAAGGAGAAGAAGAAGAUGAUGAUGAUGAUGAAGAAGAAGAAGGAUUGGAAGAUAUCGAUGAAGAAGGAGAUGAGGAUGAAGGUGAUGAAGAUGAUGAUGAGGGGGAGGAAGGAGAGGAGGAUGAAGGAGAAGAUGACUAAUGGAACACUGAUGGAUUCCAACCUUCCUUUUUUUAAUUUUCUUCAGUCCCUGGGAGCAAGUUGCAGGGGUUUUUUUGUUUUUUUUUUUCUCCUCUUGUGCUCAUUCGCCCUGUUUUUUGAAGUCUCUUUUCUCUCCCUUUAUACCAUGGUUCUCAACUUAUUUUGGGGGGAAAUACCUUGAGCAGAAUACAGUGGGAAAAGAAUCUCUACCCCUUUCUGUUCCAAAUUCAUUUUUAUCCCUUCCUGUCUCAACAAAAACUUUAUGGAAUCAACACCACCGUGCUCUGUGGGAAAAAAGAAAAACCUUCUGCUCCCUUAGCUCUGCUGGAAGCUGGAGGGUGCUAGGCCCCUGUGUAGUAGUGCAUAGAAUUCUAGCUUUUUUCCUCCUUUCUCUGUAUAUUGGGCUCAGAGAUUACACUGUGUCUCUAUGUGAAUAUGGACAGUUAGCAUUUACCAACAUGUACCUGUCUACUUUCUCUUGUUUAAAAAAAAGAAAAAAAAACUUAAAAAAAUGGGGUUAUAGAAGGACAGCGAAGGGUGGGUUUGAGAUGUUUGGGUGGGUUAAGUGGGCAUUUUGACAACAUGGCUUCUCCUUUGGCAUGUUUAAUUGUGAUGUUUAACGGACAUCCUUGCAGUUUAAGAUGACACUUUUAAAAUAAAACUCUCUCCUAAUGAUGACUUGAGCCCUGCCACUCGAUGGGAGAAUCAGCAGAACCUGUAGGAUCUUAUUUGGAAUUGACAUUCUCUAUUGUAAUUUUGUUCCUGUUUAUUUUUAAAUUUUCUUUUUGUUUCACUGGAAAGGAAAGAUGAUGCUCAGUUUUAAACGUUAAAAGUGUACAAGUUGCUUUGUUACAAUAAAACUAAA